rnacentral:rRNA from 1 species
AGCAGCCGCGGUAAUUCCAGCUCCAAUAGCGUAUAUUAAAGUUGUUGCAGUUAAAAAGCUCGUAGUUGAAUUUCGGGAUCAAUACGUCGGUCGUGCUUUCGGGUACGUACUGGCGUCAUUGGUUUCUCCUUUCUGACGAACCAUGAUGUCAUUAAUUUGGUGUUAUGGGGAGUUAGGACUGUUACUUUGAAAAAAUUAGAGUGUUUAAAGCAGGCUUAGGCUUGAAUACAUUAGCAUGGAAUAAUGAAAUAGGACGUUUGAUCCUAUUUUGUUGGUUUCUAGGAUUGACGUAAUGAUUAAUAGGGAUAGUUGGGGGCAUUAGUAUUCAAUUGUCAGAGGUGAAAUUCUCGGAUUUAUUGAAGACUAACUACUGCGAAAGCAUUUGCCAAGGAUGUUUUCAUUAAUCAAGAACGAAAGUUAGGGGAUCGAAGACGAUCAGAUACCGUCGUAGUCUUAACCAUAAACUAAUGCCGACUAGGGAUCGGAUGAUGUUAAUUUUUUAAUGACUCAUUCGCGCCUU